UGGCGGCGUGCCUAACACAUGCAAGUCGAACGGAGUUUUAUGGAAUGCGACUUCGGUCAAAUGAAGUUUAAACUUAGUGGCGGACGGGUGAGUAACGCGUGAGCAACCUGCCUUACAGAGGGGGACAACAGUUGGAAACGACUGCUAAUACCGCAUAACGUGCCGGAAGGACAUCCUUUUGGUACCAAAGGAGCAAUCCGCUGUAAGAUGAGCUUGCGUCUGAUUAGCUAGUUGGUGAGGUAACGGCUCACCAAGGCGACGAUCGGUAGCCGGACUGAGAGGUUGAACGGCCACAUUGGAACUGAGAUACGGUCCAGACUCCUACGGGAGGCAGCAGUGGGGAAUAUUGGGCAAUGGGCGAAAGCCUGACCCAGCGACGCCGCGUGAGGGAAGAAGAUCUUCGGAUUGUAAACCUUAGUCAACAGGGAAGAAGAAAGUGACGGUACCUGUGGAGGAAGCCACGGCUAACUACGUG
rnacentral:rRNA from 1 species